ensembl:snRNA U1 U1 spliceosomal RNA
AUACUUACCUGGCAGGGGAGAUACCACGACCACAAAGGUGGUUUUCCCAGGGCAAGCGCUAUCCAUUGCAGUCUGGAUGUGCUGACCCUGUGAUUCCACCAAAUGUGGGAAACUUGUCCGCAUGAUCUGUAGUAGUGGUGACUGUCUUCAUGCUUUCCCAGU